rnacentral:lncRNA from 1 species
GCUCGCUCCUCUACGGCGUUAGUGCAGGGCUUGCAGUUUUCAGGAGUGCUCCGUUCCUGUGCCGUCCUCCUCCGGCUUUUCCAUCUGCUUCAUUCUGUUUGGAAAAUGGCAAUGUAGAAUGUGUUUGGUGUAACCUUAAUCCUGACCAGCAUCUGGGCUCCGUUUAAAAAAAAAAAAAAGGCAUCUACUGCAGGCAAGGUUUCUGUAUAUGCUUCCCCGCUUCAGUAAAACAAAGUUGGGGAGGGGGGGGGAACAACAGCCAAAAAUAACAAUAGGAAAUAAUAUUUGUUUUAAUGGACAUUUGUAUUAAUACGUAGGUUUUAAUAUAUUUUCCUGCCUACGUGGGCAAACCGUGGUGCUUGUACUUUUCACCUCACCUCUCCUAGUGUUUCAUGUCAGAGGUAAACCGGAUUCGCACCAUUUCAGUAAGCAAAAGGGGGGGGGGUGUCUUUACAUCUUUUACCAACCACGCUGUUAAUUACUCACGAAAUACGUAAAAGUGAGUGCCACCAUUAAAAAAAAAACCCUAACGAAGUGAAAUUCCUGCCUGACGCCUUCUGACAUCUCCCUGUUAAACUUUUCCAGGCCUUUCACAGGUCCCCGGUGGAGACGCGAGUUUAUUCCAUGUUCCAGAAGGAAGCAACGAGGAUGAAAAUCGUGGCCAGGCUCAACUCUCCCUCCUGCUCAACUUGCUGUGAACAAAAGGCUCCGUUCCAGAUCCAGCCCGCAGUUGCCGUGAGAAACUUCUCUGCGAGCGCUGGCUGUCGCGCUGCCUCCCUCGCCUGCUCGCUGCCUCCCUGCCUCGGUAAAAUGGCAGUGCGAGAGCUUCAUGAAAAGGGUGAAAACCCUCCUUUCUCGGCCCCUGGCUCUCCAGCAGCACUCCCCCUGCCCUGUUCGUGACUCCUGAACUCCAACUUGGCUAAAAAUACACUUUCAGAGGGCAGAAUUGCACGGGAGUGAUUUUUUUUUUUAUUAUUUUUUCUUUUUUUUUUUCACUCCACUGAAAAGAGCAGCAGAGGGUGGGAGAAACACAGAGGGACAGACUUGCUCGGAGUCGGCAGCUCUCUGCGUGCUGGCGAACUCUCUGCUGGUUUCGCCUCCCUGCACGCUAUUGCCAGUUCCCAAGUACUUAAACAGAAUAAUAGUUUUGCUUCAGUGGGAAAAUCGAGGCCCAGAGUUGAGGUCUGUCUCUCUUCGCAGCUCUGAAAGGCUUUUUAACUCUUCCAAGCGGGGUUUGCAGCCUGACGGGGCUGCUCUGCAAGCCCACCCGACAGGUCCCAAAUCUGGUGGGAUUCAGGAGAAA